rnacentral:tRNA from 1 species
AUCCAUAUAGUUUAAAAAACAUUACAUUUUCAAUGUAAAAUUAAGAAAAAUUUCUUUAUGAAUA